rnacentral:rRNA from 1 species
UAGGGAAUCUUCGGCAAUGGACGGAAGUCUGACCGAGCAACGCCGCGUGAGUGAAGAAGGUUUUCGGAUCGUAAAGCUCUGUUGUUAGAGAAGAACGUUGGUAGGAGCGGAAAAUCUACCAAGUGACGGUAACUAACCAGAAAGGGAAGGCCAAAUAUGUGCCAGCAGCCGCGGUAAUAAGUAGGUCCCGAGCGUUGUCCGGUUUUAUUGGGCGUAAAGCGAGCGCAGGCGGUUCUUUAAGUCUGAAGUUAAAGGCAGUGGCUUAACCCUUGUACGCUUUGGAAACUGGAGGACUUGGGUGCAGAAGGGGAGAGUGGAAUUCCAUGUGUAGCGGUGAGAUGCGUAGAUAUAUGGGGGGACUCCGGUGACGAAAGCAGCUCUCUAGUCUGUCACUGACGCUGAGGCUCGAAAGCGUGGGGAGCAAACAGG